rnacentral:rRNA from 1 species
GACGAACGCUGGCGGCAUGCCUAAUACAUGCAAGUCGAGCGAACAGAUGAAGUGCUUGCACUUCUGACGUUAGCGGCGAACGGGUGAGUAACACGUAAGGAAUCUACCUAUAAGCGGGGGAUAACAUUCGGAAACGGGUGCUAAUACCGCAUAAUAUCUUCUUCCGCAUGGAAGAAGAUUGAAAGACGGCUCUGCUGUCACUUAUAGAUGACCUUGCGGUGCAUUAGUUAGUUGGUGGGGUAACGGCCUACCAAGACGAUGAUGCAUAGCCGACCGGAGAGGGUGAUCGGCCACAUUGGGACGGAGACACGGCCCAAACUCCUACGGGAGGCAGCAGUAGGGAAUCUUCCGCAAUGGGCGAAAGCCUGACGGAGCAAUGCCGCGUGAGUGAAGAAGGCCUUCGGGUCGUAAAACUCUGUUAUAAGAGAAGAACAAAUUGUAGAGUAACUGCUACAGUCUUGACGGUAUCUUAUCAGAAAGCCACGGCUAACUACGUGCCAGCCGCCGCCGUAA